AAGUGCCAGGAAAGAAUUAUUCAAGCCCUUCCCAGAAGGUAUCCUUCUGGCAAGGGUACUGUACUAAACUAACUAAAGUGGGGGAUAGUGAGGGGAUAAAUUUUCUUAAGGAACUCGGCAAAAUCCCAAUGGCCCACCAGGGCAUAUUGGAACACGGGCCUCGACUGUUUACCAAAAACAUAGCCCUCGGCUAAUAUGAAAAUAGAUGUAUAGAGGGUGAUGCCUGCCCAAUGGUUGUAUCUAAAAGCGGUUGAUAAAAGUUGACCUCGUAAGGACAAUUGAAUGGCCGCGGUAACACUGACCGUGAUAAUGUAGCGUAAUCAAUAGCCAAUUAAUUGUUGGCCAGUAUGAAUGGCGCCACGAAGGCCCCACUGUCUUAAGGAAAUUCCCAGUGAAAUUGAAUUCGUAGUGAAGAUGCUACGUCCAAUUUGUUAGACGAAAAGACCCCGUUGAGCUUUACUGGAGCACUUACAUGGCCCCGGCCUUCCCAUGCCUGGGAACCGGCCGAAUUUAAAUGGGCGGCUUAGAUUAUGUGGCAGCCCCCCGCUGGGGCAAAUGAAACACCACUCCCCCAUGUCAAAGGGGCUAACCCCCCCCCUUGGGGGGACAGUGUAAGUAGGACAGUUUGGUUGGGGCGACCACCUUUUAAAAAGUAACGAAGGUGCGCUUAAGGUGCGCAAUUAAUGACUGAAGCCUGACUGCGAGGGGGACACCCCGAGCAGACACCCCAAAGCCCGCCCGAAAGGCGGCGGUGGGGUGGGCCAUAGUGACCCGUUAAUUUAGAGUGGAAUAGUUAACGAUCAACGAAUAAAAGUUACCACGGGGAUAACAGCGUAAUAUCGUUAGAGAGUUCACAUCG
rnacentral:rRNA from 1 species